rnacentral:rRNA from 1 species
GUGGGGAAUCUUGCGCAAUGGGCGAAAGCCUGACGCAGCAACGCCGCGUGGGGGAUGAAGGCCCUAGGGUUGUAAAGCUCUUUCAGUGGGGACGAUAAUGACGGUACCCACAGAAGAAGCCCCGGCUAACUUCGUGCCAGCAGCCGCGGUAAUACGAAGGGGGCUAGCGUUGUUCGGAUUUACUGGGCGUAAAGCGCACGUAGGCGGAUCGUUAAGUCGAGGGUGAAAUCCUGGAGCUCAACUCCAGAACUGCCUUCGAUACUGGCGAUCUUGAGUCCGGAAGAGGUGAGUGGAACUCCUAGUGUAGAGGUGGAAUUCGUAGAUAUUAGGAAGAACACCAGUGGCGAAGGCGGCUCACUGGUCCGGUACUGACGCUGAGGUGCGAAAGCGUGGGGAGCAAACAGGAUUAGAAACCCCGGUAGUCC